rnacentral:tRNA from 1 species
ACUUGCAAAAUCACUUUUUAUUGCAAUUGCUUGGUUAAGCAGUUCAAGUGAUUGGCUAUAAUUUUCUUUUUGG